AGAGUUUGAUCAUGGCUCAGAGUGAACGCUAGCGGCGUGGAUUAGGCAUGCAAGUCGAGCGCGAAAGUAAACAAAGGAUUCCUUCGGGAUGACUGCGUUUUCGAUUAGAGCGGCGCAAGGGUGAGUUACACAUGGCUAAUGUGCCCUCAACACUGGAAUAACUUCGGGAAACUGAAGCUAAUGCCAGAUAGCCUUGAAGAACCGCAUGGUUCUUUAAGUAAAGGUUGGGAUCCCUUCGGGGACCUCCUGGUUGAGGAGCGGGUCAUGCGCUAUCAGCUUGUUGGUGAGGUAAUGGCUCACCAAGGCUAUGACGGCUAGGCGGUCUGAGAGGAUGGCCGCCCACAUCGGGACUGAGACACUGCCCGGACUCCUACGGGAGGCUGCAGUCGAGAAUCAUCCGCAAUGGGCGAAAGCCUGACGGUGCGACGCCGCGUGAGGGACGAAGGCUCUAGGGUUGUAAACCUCUUUCGCCUGUUAAGAACGCCUGUACGUUAAUAGCGUGCAGAUUGACAAAAGCAGGUAAAGAAGCACCGGCUAACUCCGUGCCAGCAGCCGCGGUAAGACGGAGGGUGCAAGCGUUACUCGGAAUUACU
rnacentral:rRNA from 1 species